GAUGAACGCUGGCGGCGUGCCUAAUACAUGCAAGUCGAGCGAACGGACGAGAAGCUUGCUUCUCUGAUGUUAGCGGCGGACGGGUGAGUAACACGUGGAUAACCUACCUAUAAGACUGGGAUAACUUCGGGAAACCGUAGCUAAUACCGGAUAAUAUUUUGAACCGCAUGGUUCAAGAGUGAAAGACGGUCUUGCUGUCACUUAUAGAUGGAUCCGCGCUGCAUUAGCUAGUUGGUAAGGUAACGGCUUACCAAGGCAACGAUGCAUAGCCGACCUGAGAGGGUGAUCGGCCACACUGGAACUGAGACACGGUCCAGACUCCUACGGGAGGCAGCAGUAGGGAAUCUUCCGCAAAGGGCGAAAGCCUGAUGGAGCAACGCCGCGUGAGUGAUGAAGGUCUUCGGAUCGUAAAGCUCUGUUAUUAGGGAAGAACAUAUGUGUAAGUAACUGUGCACAUCUUGACGGUACCUAAACAGAAAGCCACGGCUAACUACGUG
rnacentral:rRNA from 1 species